rnacentral:rRNA from 1 species
UACGGGGGGGGCAAGCGUUGUUCGGAAUUACUGGGCGUAAAGGGCUCGUAGGCGGCCAACUAAGUCAGACGUGAAAUCCCUCGGCUUAACCGGGGAACUGCGUCUGAUACUGGAUGGCUUGAAUCCGGGAGAGGGAUGCGGAAUUCCAGGUGUAGCGGUGAAAUGCGUAGAUAUUCGGAGGAACACCAGUGGCGAAGGCGGCUCACUGGUCCGGUACUGACGCUGAGGUGCGAAAGCGUGGGGAGCAAACAGG